AUUAAUAUGCUGCAGUAUAAUUUCUUCCAUUCCCUUGAGUUCUUUAGGACCAGUCUCACAUGCCACAAAACAUAAUCAUCAACUCAGUAUAAGAGUACCAGAGCAUCUAAGAUGUGAAGCAUUGAACCAAAGGAACUGAUGUCCACUGAGCUUUGCCUUUACCCCAUGGAAGACCAUCACACAUCUGUGACUUAGUAAAGUCCUCCUGAUCUACAAGUUGGCCUUCAAGUGGCAUCUUCUUAGCAGGAUCACAAAGCAUUCAACACAUGCUCUGAAGAAUUGGCCUUGUCUACGAAAAGAGCAGUGGAAAUACUCCACGCUCAGAUUUACUGUGGAAUUCAAGAAGAUUGCUGCUUUUUGCUUAACUUUCUCCUGUGACAGAUUUGCAAGCUGCAGGAGUGGCUGUUGGGUGACCAUUUCUCCUUCAGACACACAGGGGGGCACUUUGCAGAAAGCUGUCAUUAGGAGUGGAAGCAGAAGACACCUGGAGAAACGUGUUGUGUUGCUCAGAGUAAUUUUACUCAUAUUCCAUAAGCAAAGGAGGAAGCUGUAUGUCUGAGGAAGUGACAAAGGCGUUUGCAAGGAGUGGGAAAAGAGACCCUGAAGAGUCUUUAUAAUUGUACUAGGAUAGAGAAGGAAAGAGCUAGGUGCUUGUGCCUUCUGCUCCUCCAGCAAGUUUUUGAAAGCAGCCUUUUCAGUAAGUCACUGCUUCUUCUGUGUUACUGAAGAGGAGGAAACUUUGCUCUGACAAGGGAGUCCUUAGGAACGUUUG
ensembl:lncRNA